UACGGAGGAUGCGAGCGUUAUCCGGAUUUAUUGGGUUUAAAGGGUGCGUAGGCGGAUUUUUAAGUCAGCGGUAAAAUGUCCGGGCUCAACCCGGGCCGGCCGUUGAAACUGGGGAUCUUGAGUGGGCGAGAAGUAUGCGGAAUGUGUGGUGUAGCGGUGAAAUGCAUAGAUAUCACGCAGAACUCCGAUUGCGAAGGCAGCAUACCGGCGCCCGACUGACGCUGAGGCACGAAAGCGUGGGGAUCGAACAGG
rnacentral:rRNA from 1 species